GUUCAGGACCAGGUUGGAUGAGGCCUUGAGUGACCUGUUCUAGUGGGAGGUGUCCCUGCCUAUGGAACUAGAGGAGCUUUGAGAUCCCUUCCAACAUAAACCAUUCUGUUAUUUGUGUUCAGUUCCUGUGGUGCUGAGCACAGCUUUGGUGUUGGCCCUUGUCUGGCAUGGAGGAGCUGGGGCUGUGCUGCUUGGAGAAGAGGAGCCUGAGGGGGGACCUCAGGAAUGGUUAUUGAGAUGUGCAGGUUCCUCUUUGUACCUGUCAGCUGCAUGAGUGGAAACUUGAGGCCCAAACAGCUGAGAUCUCCCUUGAGAAGAGCAGAGCUGCCAUCUGCAACCAAACCUAAGCUUCCAAGGCAGAGAGGGCAUCAGCAGGUUUCAUCUCUGUGGUAAAAGCCAUGUCUGAGGCUUGCACUCUCAGGAAGAUCUCUGAACUUUGGGGACUUAUUUGCCAGUUACCCUCUUGGUGCCCUUACCUUUGCU